rnacentral:rRNA from 1 species
UACAGAGGGUGCGAGCGUUAAUCGGAAUUACUGGGCGUAAAGCGCACGUAGUCGGCUUUGCAAGUCGGUUGUGAAAUCCCCGGGCUCAACCUGGGAACUGCAUCCGAGACUGCAUUGCUAGAGUAUGGGAGAGGGAAGCGGAAUUUCUGGUGUAGCAGUGAAAUGCGUAGAUAUCAGAAGGAACAUCAGUGGCGAAGGCGGCUUCCUGGACCAAUACUGACACUCAGGUGCGACAGCGUGGGGAGCAAACAGG